rnacentral:lncRNA from 1 species
CACUAUUUCUCAGAGCAUGUCAACACCAUUAAGGGACUCAUUGUGGCAGCUGUUUUGGACAUUCCUCCCAUGACAGGGGCUUGCUAUGGUGGGUCCUGGGCUGGAAACCAUAUGAAGCUAUCUAGAGACUCAGAAGGUGGAAGCGGGAAGGUCAGGAGUUAAAGGCCGUCCUCAGCUACGUGGUGAGUUUAACUGCCUGGGCUGCACGAAACCCUGUCUCCGAGAAGCAAAACAAAAAUGCACUUGAAGGCGAUCUUUGUAUGAUGGGAGUCCACAACCUGAUGGGGUCAUCAGAAGAGUUCAAUGAGUCAGGACAUGUCACCCAGCAAGGGGGAAUUCCCCCACGCCAGACACGGAGGAGGCAAGGAUGCAAUCCCCGCCAGGGGCUGGGACUCCAGACAAGGCAAGGUCCCACACCAUGCUUCUGCUCAGCCCACUUUUCCCACAGCUGCCUUUGGCAAGAACAGCAGUCAGAGAAAGUGUCCCUGUGAAGCCUCCACUGACUGGGGCACUGUUUAUGUCCACACUGUCGAUGAAGAAGCUGAAGUGGAGGGAAACUGAAGAACCUUUGCUGGAGUCAUGUUAUUUAACUAUGAAGAUCUUACCAGGUUUGAACCAGUCGCUGGGGACUUCCAGAGUUCCUUAUGUCUGGUCCUGCCUAUUGGGGGAAACUGGAGAUGCCCAGUAGAGGCCCAGAAGUGCCAGCCUGCUCAGGUUGACCUUGCCCAGCCCACUCGGGAGGGCCUGAGCACAGAAGUUCCCAUGGAAAGUUUUGAGAUUUUUGUGGAUUGAAACCAGAUGACCCCUUGUAAGCAGAGCCCACCAGCAGCAGUGGGUCUGGGUGUGUGUGCUCCUCCACCCUCCUGUUCCCAGUCUGUUCCAGGGAGGGAAACCGCCCCAGGGUGCAGACAAGCCAAUGGGACGGGAGCUCACGAGCCUUGGCCACCAGACAGGCAUGGCUGGGUGGUUGGAGGGAACAAAAGACAAUUCUGUGCUGGGACAGGAAUGGCUCCACCGGUCUCCUGGGUCCUCAUCUGUUUUCAAAUUUCGGGAUGAGCAGAGAACUUUGAGAGCGCGUUCCUCUUCUACCACAUUUUCCAGUUCCUUCUCUGCACGCUCAUUCAUUUCUACCUUCCACAAAUCGCUGAAGCAAACAGAGCACACCGUGAGCUGAACUGAACCUCUGUGAUGAUCUCCCCCUACCUAGAAAUUAAAAGCUUUGCUGUUCCUGGAAGGAAGAGACAAUCA